rnacentral:rRNA from 1 species
GUUUAUGGCCAUAUCACCCUGAAUGCACCGGAUCUCAUCUGAUCUCAGAAGCUAAGCAGGGUCAGGCCUGGUUAGUACUUGGAUGGGGGUAACAGUAGUCAGGAGAGAAGUAGUAGUCACGUUGGCA